UGAGGAAUUUUGGUCAAUGGACGAGAGUCUGAACCAGCCAAGUAGCGUGCAGGAUGACGGCCCUAUGGGUUGUAAACUGCUUUUGUUUGGGAAUAAUCGACAUUACGUGUAAUGUUUUGCAUGUACCAUUCGAAUAAGGACCGGCUAAUUCCGUGCCAGCAGCCGCGGUAAUACGGAAGGUCCAGGCGUUAUCCGGAUUUAUUGGGUUUAAAGGGAGUGUAGGCGGUUGGUUAAGCGUGUUGUGAAAUGUAGAUGCUCAACAUCUGACUUGCAGCGCGAACUGGCUGACUUGAGUACACACAACGUAGGCGGAAUUCAUGGUGUAGCGGUGAAAUGCUUAGAUAUCAUGAAGAACUCCGAUUGCGAAGGCAGCUUACGGGAGUGUUACUGACGCUUAAGCUCGAAGGUGCGGGUAUCGAACAGG
rnacentral:rRNA from 1 species